UAGGUUAAAAAUUAGUUUUUAAGAAAUAUUUUUUUAAUAGGAGUAUAUUUAAUAGAACAGAUAUGGAUAACAAAGAAAUUAAAAAGAUAAUUUGUACCUUUUGUAUAAGGGUUAAAUUAAAUUUUUAAUUAUUUAAUAAUUCCGAAGAGCUAAGAGUUAUUUAAAAUUUAAUUUAUGUGGAAUUAAUUAAAAAUUUUAGAUGGAAGUGAUAUGUUUUCGAUUAGCUAGAUAACUGAUUUUUUUUUGUUAGUGUGGUAUAAUCUAUACUAUUAAAGAAUUUAAUAAUUAUUAAUAAGAAAAUUUUUUUUAUUAAGGCUUAGAAUUAGCUGUUUUGUUAUUAAUAAGGUAAAAGUUAAAAGAAUUAUUUUAAUAAUUUUAUUUUUAAUAUUUAUGAUUUAGUAAAAUAUAAAAAAUUGUUUAAAUUAGUAGAAAUGAUUUUAUUUAAAUUAUAUAAAUUUAUUUUUUAAAGAUGAAUUCGGCAAAAAAAGCAGUAAAUGUUUAACAAAAACAUUUUUUUUUCUUAUAUAAAAAAUAUAACCUGCCCACUGAAUUUUAAAGGGCCGCAGUAUUUUGACUGUGCAAAGGUAGCAUAAUAAUUAGUCUCUUAAUUAGAGAAUGGAAUGAAUGGUUGAAUAUUGUUUUUCUUUAUUUUUAAAAUUUUAUUGAAUUUUGAUUUUUAGUGAAAAUACUAAAAUGAGUAAGUAAGACGAUAAGACCCCAUAGAGUUUUAUUAAUUUGUAUAGCAGUUAUUUUUACUGGGGCAGUAGAAGAGUCAAAAAUUUCUUUUUAAAGUUUAAUUUACCAAAAUUUUUGUGAAAAAAAAUUACCUUGGGGAUAACAGCAUAAUAUAAUCUGAGAGAUCUAAUCGACGAUUUUGUUUGUGACCUCGAUGUUGAAUUAAAAUUUUUUUAAGGGGUAGUAUUUUUAAAUUAUAGUCUGUUCGACUAUUAAAUUUUUACAUGAUUUGAGUUCAAACCGGCGUGAGCCAGGUUGGUUUCUAUCUUCUUAUAAUUAUUAUUUUAUUGUAGUACGAAAGGACCUAAUAAUUUUUUAUU
rnacentral:rRNA from 1 species